UGCAUUCACUACUGUAAGUCGCUCUGGAUAAGAGCGUCUGCUAAAUGACGGAAA
rfam:Salmo salar isolate Sally breed double haploid chromosome ssa22, whole genome shotgun sequence.